GACGAACGCUGGCGGCGUGCUUAACACAUGCAAGUCGAGGGACCGGCGCACGCGUAAGUAACACGUAUCCAACCUUACCUUUACUCGGGGAUCGCCUUUCGAAAUGAAGAUUAAUACCCAAUGUUAAGGAUGGGGAUGGGUGCAAGUAGGUUGUUGGUGAGGUAACGGCACACCAAGCCUGCGAUGGAUAGGGGUUCUGAGAGGAAGGCCCCCCACAUUUGAACUGAGACCCAGUCCAAAAUGCGAGGGGAGGCAGCAGUGAGGAAUAUUGGUAACUGGGCGUUAGCCUGAACCAGCCAAGUAGCGUGAAGGAUGAUGGGUUAUGGGUCGUAAACUUCUUUUAUAUAAGAAGAUGUAUCAAAUGAAUAAGGAUCGGCUAACUCCGUGCCAGCAGCCGCGGUAAUUC
rnacentral:rRNA from 1 species